UGGGAAGUCUUGGACAAUGGGCGCAAGCCUGAUCCAGCGACGCCGCGUGGGUGACGAAGGCCUUCGGGUUGUAAAAGCCCUUUUCCCGGGGUCAGCGAUGGUGACGGUACCCGGGAAUGAAGCACCGGCUAACUCCGUGCCAGCAGCCGCGGUAAGACGGAGGGUGCUAGCGUUAUCCGGAAUUAUUGGGCGUAAAGAGCUCGUAGGCGGUUUGUCGCGUCUGCCGUGAAAGUCCGGGGCUCAACUCCGGAUCUGCGGUGGGUACGGGCAGACUAGAGUGAUGUAGGGGAGACUGGAAUUCCUGGUGUAGCGGUGAAAUGCGCAGAUAUCAGGAGGAACACCGAUGGCGAAGGCAGGUCUCUGGGCAUUAACUGACGCUGAGGAGCGAAAGCAUGGGGAGCGAACAGGAUUAGAUACC
rnacentral:rRNA from 1 species